ensembl:lncRNA
GUUUCUGGUGAAGUGACUGUAGUUCCUGUUGUCUCUGUAGUUGCUGUUGUCUCAGGAGUUGCAGUACUAGAUGGUGCAGUAGAAGCAGUGCUGCUGGAAACAGACGUUGCAGUUUCAGGUGAAGUGACUGUAGUUCCUGAUGUCUCUGUAGUUGCUGUUGUCUCAGGAGUUGCAGUACUAGAUGGUGCAGUAGAAGCAGUGGUGCUGGAAGACGAUGUAGUUAUAGGUGAAGUGACUGUAGUUACCGUAGUCUCUGGAGUGGCUGUACUUGAGAGUACAGUAGAAGCACUGCUGCUGGAAGCAGAUGUUUUAGUUUCAGGUGAAGUGACUGUAGUUCCUGUUCUCUCUGUAGUUGUUGUUGUCUCAAGAGUUGCAGUACUAGAUGGUACUGUAGAAGCAGUGCUGCUGGAAGUAGAUGUUGUAGUUUUAGGUGAAGUGACUGUAGUUCCUGUUGUCUCUGUAGUUGCUGUUGUCUCAGGAGUUGCAGUACUAGAUGGUGCAGUAGAAGCAGUGGUGCUGGAAGUAGAUGUUGUAGUUUCAGUUGAAGUGACUGUAGUUCCUUUUGUCUCUGUAGUUGCUGUUGUCUCAGGUGUUGCAGUACUAGAUGGUGCAGUAGAAGCAGUGGUGCUGGAAGUAGAUGUUGUAGUUUCAGGUGAAGUGACUGUAGUUGCUGUUGUCUCAGGAGUUGCAGUACUAGAUGGUGCAGUAGAAGCAGUGCUGCUGGAAGCAGAUGUAGUAGGCCCAGUUGAAGCAGUAGUGCUGGCCUCUGUGGUUGUAGAUGUGCUUGUGCUUGUUGUAGUGCCUGAAUUGGUUUGGCUGCUUGUUUCUUUGGUGGAAGUGGUGGCCGCUGCUGUGGUAGUUUCAGUUGUAGUAUUAGUGAUGGUUGUUUUGCUGGUAGGUUCUGUUGAGCCACCUGCCAUUGUUAUUGUGCUAGUAGGCUGAGUUGAAGUGGAUGUUGAGGUAGAUGUAGUGGUGGCUACAGGUUUUGAACUUGUAGAUGUCCCAGUAGUAGAUGAGGAUGUCCCUUGGCUUUGAGGAACUUGAAUAACAAUGGAAGUAUUGUUAUUUCUCCCAUUGUACACCAAGGACAUUAUGAGUACUCCAAAUGCUGUUGUUAUCACACCAGCUAAGAGACAAGCUAGGAAGAUUUUCCAUAAAGACCAACCAUUGUGGAAAUGUUGUGUUACCUGGAAAGUAUGUUAAUAUUAUUACCAAAAGAUGAAAAAAAGUUUAAAGAAAAAUUAAUGCCAUUUAUUACCCUUCUAUAUUUUGUUCUGGUAAUUUUGAACUCUCACUGCUUAAGGUUGUCUUUAACUAUUUUGAGUUGGUUUUUGUACGUUUCCUGAUAUAAGGCUCAAUUUUAUUCUCCUGCAUGUGUACAGCCAGUUUCCCCAAAGUCAUUUGUUGAAGAAACUGUCCUUUCUCCCAUUGUGUGUUCCUGACACAUUUGUUGAAAAUCAAUUGACUAUAAGUGCAGGGAUGGAUUUCUGGACCGUAUUCUACCCAAUUGGUCUAUUACCUUUUUUAAUGCAAGUACCAUCAUUAUUUGGUUAUUAUCGGUUUGUAGUUGAUUUUGAAAGAAAUUACUUCAUUUAAAUAAAUUGUAUAAACAGGAACA